CUCACCAUAGCUCAGUUGGUAGAGCGUCGGACUGUAAUCUGAUACCUCGCCUCUCGACAGAGAGUUAAUACAUCCGCAGGUCCUGUGUUCGACUCACAGUGGUGAGA
rfam:Trichosporon oleaginosus strain IBC0246 unplaced genomic scaffold CC85scaffold_31, whole genome shotgun sequence.